AGCGAAUAGAUACCCGGGUAGUCCUGGCCUUAAACGAUGGGCACUAGGUAGUGGGCUCGACCUGGGCGCACUGCCGCAGCGAAAGUCAUUAGUGCCCCGCCUGGGAGUAUGGUCGCAAGGCUGAAACUCAAGGGAAUUGACGGGGGCGUCACACAAGCGGUGGAGCAUGUGGCUUAAUUCGAGGCUACGCGAAGAACCUUACCCACGGCUUGACAUGUGCGAAACGCGCCAAGUGUACCCUGCGGAAACGCAGGGAACCCGGCAAGGGGUACGUGUACGAGUGCUGCAUGGCUGUCGUCAGCUCGUGUCGUGAGAUGUC
rnacentral:rRNA from 1 species